rnacentral:rRNA from 1 species
GUCGAGCGGUAGCACNGAGAGCUUGCUCUCGGGUGACGAGCGGCGGANGGGUGAGUAAUGUCUGGGAAACUGCCUGAUGGAGGGGGAUAACUACUGGAAACGGUAGCUAAUACCGCAUAACGUCGCAAGACCAAAGUGGGGGACCUUCGGGCCUCAUGCCAUCAGAUGUGCCCAGAUGGGAUUAGCUAGUAGGUGGGGUAAUGGCUCACCUAGGCGACGAUCCCUAGCUGGUCUGAGAGGAUGACCAGCCACACUGGAACUGAGACACGGUCCAGACUCCUACGGGAGGCAGCAGUGGGGAAUAUUGCACAAUGGGCGCAAGCCUGAUGCAGCCAUGCCGCGUGUAUGAAGAAGGCCUUCGGGUUGUAAAGUACUUUCAGCGAGGAGGAAGGCNUUAAGGUUAAUAACCUUAGNGAUUGACGUUACUCGCAGAAGAAGCACCGGCUAACUCCGUGCCAGCAGCCGCGGUAAUACGGAGGGUGCAAGCGUUAAUCGGAAUUACUGGGCGUAAAGCGCACGCAGGCGGUCUGUUAAGUCAGAUGUGAAAUCCCCGGGCUCAACCUGGGAACUGCAUUUGAAACUGGCNGGCUUGAGUCUUGUANAGGGGGGUAGAAUUCCAGGUGUAGCGGUGAAAUGCGUAGAGAUCUGGAGGAAUACCGGUGGCGAANGCGGCCCCCUGGACAAAGACUGACGCUCAGGUGCGAANNNGUGGGGANCAAACAGGAUUANAUACCCUGGUANUCCACGCUGUAAACGAUGUCNNNNNGNNGGUUGUUCCCUUGANNANUGGGCUUCCGGANCUNNNNNCGUUNNNUCGACCGCCNGGGGGAGUAC